UCCUGAUUACUCUACUGCAGCCCCUGCUCUGGUCACUCAGGGAACAGAAAACUACUCAUCCAGUGACCAGUAUAUUUGCCCUCUACCAGACUCCUGUACCCCACUGGUCUGGGUCUGUCACAACACAUACAAGAAAGUCUACCAGAGGAUCCCCCCCUCCCCCAACUCUAACCCCGGGCUCUGGUAGGUUUUAGUCCUUCAAAACCCACAGUUCCUGUGGUUACAAGUUCAUCCGUCUUAGAUCCAGAUCACAAAGCUGGUCAGAUCUAAGGCUUUUCUGCAGACAAUGACCCUUUCCUCACAGCAUAGCUUCCAAAGGCAGGGUUUUUGCAUAACCUGAGAUAAUUUGCCUCUUCCUAGGGAUUUUCCAGGAAAUUCACUUAAAACCUAUUGUCCCAAAAGUUCAUAUUUGUUUGGAGCAUUUUGAAUAUAGUCUUUUGAAUUCUCAGGUUUCAUAUCUGUCACAUCUCCCCCUAGAGGGGUUACAUACAAUCCUGGCCCACAAUGAUAUGGAAACUUAAUACAAUAAGGUCUUCUGAGGCUAUUGCAGGAAAUUGCAGUAUCUGUCACAGCUAUGACCACUGCAUUACUCAAAACGUAGGCAAGGAGGCUUGAAUUAAAAAUAACACUCACUCCUGCCUGAAAACAGCUAAAAAUAACAAAUAUAAAAGAAAAGGAUGGGAGCAAAGUGAGCUGUUACUUUGCUGCUGCUGUGGAUGCAGAAAAUCUGGUGGCAAGUGGGAGAGGGGGCAUGGCCAUUUUUGAACAACCUCCAGGAACUGUAGUGAGGAACGGUCUAUGUGUAGCAUAUUUGUGGGAGAUGCUGGGCUGCAGAAACUUGUUCAACAGGAACUAGUGGUGAGUUGGAAUUUUAGUGAAGUUUAGUGUUCGUAAUCAUGGGCCACUUAGAUUCAGCAUCUUAUGGAAAUUGAAUCACAGACUGCAAUAGGUACCAAGGUAUUUAAUUUUCAAGAAUACAGUUUAGGGAAAUCUGGUGGCAUAUGCAGUAGGCAAAAGUAUUAAAAUGCAUAAAUGUGGCAGAGAUCUGGAGAAUUUUAAGACACCACGUUCAAGCCACAAGAGCUUGCAUUUCCUCUGAACUUUUUUUAAAAAGUAGUAAACAUGGCUGAGUCAGGCUCAAAACAUUUUUUUAAAUGGAUUGCAAAGGGGCAGGGGAGAAAGGUGAAAGGAAUGAAACAAAAGUUUCUAGGGAAAAGAAAAGGUCUGAAAAAGUUACCUGAAGAGGGAUAAAGACUUCCACAAAUCUAUUGGGAAAGAAAAAGUUGGCUGAUUAGCAAAUAAGGGUGGGGAAAUAAAAUAAAAUGAUGAUUAAAUGGGUGGGACACUGAGUGUGUGCUUACCACAGUGUGCAGAUGAAGUCUUUCUAUUCUGAUGAGCAUACAUUAAAUUCUAACAGUACAGUUGUGCAUGGUGUACUGGAUGAUGUGGAGGACAGCUAAAGCUGCAGCUAGGCCAUGUCUACACUUACCAGUAGAUUGGCACUGCUGUAAUCGAUGCAGUGAGUGUCGAUUAAGUGGGUCUGGUGAAGACACACUAAAUCAAUGGGAGAGCACUCUCCCAUCGAUUUGUGUACUCCACCUCCCCGAGAAGCAUAAGGGAAAUCGACGGGAGACGCGCUCCUGUUGCCACAGUGCAGUGUAGACACCAUGGUAAGUGGAUCUAACCAGGUCUACUUCAGUUAAGUUAUUCAUGUGACUGAAGUUGCAUAACUUAUAUCGAUUUACCGGAGUAGUGUAGAUCAGCCCAACUACCAGAAAAGUAAUUUUAUUGAAUAAGUAUUGACUGCAUUGGUAAAAUAACAUUCAGUAGUUAGUGCUAUUUGGCCACUACAAAAUACAAACUUAGUUGGUUCAACAGCGUAUUCACUGUAUAGUAUUCAAAUAUCUCUAGUUCAAUUUUAAUUUUUUUAAUUAGGUAGAUGACCAAUUUUUUUUCUAAUGUGCUGAGGUGCUUUGAAGAAGGAAUUAAUGUUCAGUGAUUUAUUUUAAAUCAUUGAAAGGAGAAAAUACCAAAUUCAAAAAAGCCAAUGUGGUAGUGAUCUCUUACAGUCGAUCUGUCAGUUAUUAUAGGUAAGUCCAACUUUGUUCCUUAAAAUGGAAAAUGUGCCUCACAAGAGCUAGAUACGUUUAGUAUACCAAAAGAGAAUGUUUAGAAAGUGGUGAUGUGAUAUCAUGGUCUACAAGGAGAAGAUAACUGGUAUUCGGGACCCUUUAAUCUAGCAGAGGGACAUAACAAGAUUCAAAGGCUGGAAAUUUAAAUUAGAAAAAUUCAAAUUGGAAAUAAGGUUGAGAGUAACUUUUAGAAUAGGUUACCCUGGAAAAUGAUAAAUUCUCUAUUGCUUGGCGUCUUUAAAUGAAGAUUGGGUGUCUUUCUAAAAGCUAUGCUGUAGUUCAACCACAAGUACAGGAAUUACUGAGUGAAAUUCAUGACUUGUGUCAUACAGAAGGUAAGAUUAGAUGAUCAUAAUGGCACCUUCUGGCCUUAAAUCUAUGAAAAAGUAUUAGAACCAAUAUGAGGAGAAAUUUAUAAGCAGCUAGAGGUGACAUAGUGAGCAGCAAAUGUAAGGAAACAGCAGAUGUAAUAUUUUAGUAAAAACAUUCAGCAGUCUCGUAAUUUUACUUGUACAGUAGAAUUCAGAUGGGGCUCAAAAGUUACUGAAAGUCUGUGUAAAUAAGGGGUAAUAAUUAAAUGACAAAUAUAUCACAUUGAGGUCAAUUUGGAUACCCCAAGGAUUUGUUGGGUCUUAAUUAACAAAUGGUUUCUAGGGAGAUGAAUAUCUUGGAAUCAUUGGAUGGGAUUGGGGGGAUAGGUGGUAGCUGAGAGUUUUUUAAAGUGUUAUUAAAAAUGGUAUCAGUUUGGCUCUGAAUCAUUGUUAAAGCUUAUAAGGCUGGUCUAGAUAAUACUUAGUCCUGCCAUGAGUGCAGGGGACUGGACUAGAUGACCUCUCGAGGUCCCUUCCAAUCCUAUGAUUCUAAGGCAUUAUAACCAGUAGUCCAGCAGUGUCCUCAUUUCUCAGUGGGAGGCUAACUGCUUCAGGUAGGGUUUGUUUUCUGUUUGUUCAAAAUCAUUUGAAUUUUUUUGGGACAAAACUUGGCCAUUUUUGGAAAACGGAAAGUUUUAUGAAAACAGUUUGAUUUUUCUCAAUUUUCCAUUUUUGUCAAUACAAGCUUUUUGUUUUGUUGUUGUUGUUCACUAUAGGUCCCUUUUCUAUGGCCAGUUUUGAUUGGCUUUACUGAGUCACGCGGUGUGAUAUUUUUCUAAAAUAUAUUUUAAAAUCCUGGUAAUGUAAGAACACUUCUCUGAUCUUUGGCUCACUACAGCAAAAAAUGUCUGAGUAAUGAUAAAAGAUAAACACAGCCAUUCUGAUCUUGGCACCUCAUGGCAGUCCACCAGAGAGAAGCCUUGGGCCUAGUACUUGGGGUGCCUCUUCUUAUGAAUCCUUCUAUCAGAGAGCAGUUAGGUAUUGGCCUUGAAGUCUCCCUGCCCAGGAUUCAAUCUUGUAAUGAGUGUUCUUGUUGGGGACCUCUCUGCUGCUGCAUUUUCAUCCUCUUAUCCAUAUGUAGCCAGCUACCUUAUACGUGCUUGCAGGCUGCUUUCCCUGGAGGUACAGUCCACACACCCCACAAUCCUCAUUGUGUGGUCUACCUCUGUUUUUGGUGAAUAUAGCUGCCGCUUUGCUUUGUGCCAAACACCUGCUCAGAUCAGACUCCUACUCCAGGCUAAUCCAUUGCAUCUGAACAUCUUGGCUGCACACACUUUAUUAGAUGUUACAGCCCUUCUAGGAAAAGUGGCUGCUGUGUUCAUGUUUCAGGCCCCUUUUUAGUUCGCUCUGGCUUUAGUGUCCUUUAUCCCCAGCCAGCUACUUCUCCACAGGUUCAGCUUCUGCUACUAAUGGCCCACUCCCCUGCUGGGUUUUCCUGGCCACACCUCUCACUGCUCAGGCUGCCUCCAACUGUUGCAGAAUUCCCAGGGAGAGAAUUCUCGUCUAGGGACAGACCCUUCUAAAAGGUUUCUGGCUCCCUUUCCUCAAGGAUAUGGGACAUGAUCUGCUUUUCCACUCUCCUUGCUGAACAUUCUCCUUCCAAGAGAGGAGAGAGAAUAGUGACUCUGUUGUUCAGCAGAUUCACCACAGUACUUAGUCACCCCACCCUCUGCAUCCUCUGGCCUCUCUAUACCAAGUCCAUCCUGUAUGCUCAAGGCUCUGCAUCCUGCAUGUUCUGGGUCCUCUCCCUACACAAUUUAAAUCAUUUAAAGAACUUUCUUACAAAAGACUAAGGGAAACCUAGCUCCUGCUUUGAGAUUUUAAUAACAUAGCCUGGGGCAUGAAACUUACCUCAGAACACUUGGCUUUUGACUAGAUCCUUUUUUGUAUAAGUUGUUACAGUGCACAUGUUCUCAAAAACGCUUCUUUCGGGGUUCUGAGGAAUAGCUACUGCUAUAAUAGAUACAACUGCUGUACAGACAGCUACAGCAAUGUUAACCUCGGGCGUUAAGGAGCCUGGAAAUCAUGUAAAGAAACAGGUAAGAACAGCAGAAGUACUGAUAGAAGCUGAAGUUAGAUUUUCCUGUUCUGAAGUUAGAUUUUCCUGUUCUGGCACUAGUGGACAAAACCAACCAUCUCCUGGUUUUUAUGUUGUUGUUGCCAUAAUAAAAAGGACGGCGAGGGAAACCUUGUUCUAGCCUGCAAGCUUGUUAUAGUACAGAAGUGAUAUUCUUUUCUAGCUCAUCUAUCUCUGUUCUAGUUAAAGGGGUAGAGAAGCAAGUCCAAGUCCACUUCUUCAUAUCAGAAUGUUUCAUUUGUUUGAGUCAAAUUAGUCACUGGUGAAUCUCUGCUGACUUCAGUAAAGGCUAGAAACAUCCAUACAUGUGUACCUGGGAUCUCCAGAAUGGAUAGCAAGGGGCUAAAGAACAGAGCGGUCCUGUUUAAUCAGGAAUUAUGAAAAGUUGUUUUUAAAUUAUAAGUUUUUUUAAUAAGCCAGGAGAAACCUGAAGCACAAACAACAUUGUGGGGACCCUGCACAGGAGGGUGCGAAUGAGCGUGCCUCCAGGGCUCUGGCUCUGUUCUGGGGCCCCCUCAUAUGGAUAAGGCCAGGCCUCCAGCAAUGUGUGAUCAGCCCAGUGUAGGAGGUGCUCUUAGUCCUGAGCUGAAACUGGGAUUUCUAAACACCUUCCCCCAUCUCCAUCUACCAGUAGCCCCUGACUUAUGCUUCCUCUCGUUCUCACCCCACUGGAGAUGUGCAGGCACCCUCAUAGGAUUGUGAGCAUCCUACACUUCCCUUAUGUGUUUGCAACCCUCUUUCAGCACCCAUACCUUUCCCAGUAGUGGUGGGAAAUUGAGAGCAAGUGUUUGUGUGCAUUUCCCAGGAGAAGGCUGGAGGAGGUUCAUUGUGAAAAGAAGUCAUACAAGGUCACUUCUGGCACCGCCUGGAAUAGAGAUCAAGUCCCCAAAAUGGCAAACUGUAGCUCUCAUAUACUCAGUCAGGCUAUCUUUUAUAUUGAAUAUGUCAAAGGUAUGUGCUUGGCUACCCACUUUGUAAGAACUUCAGUAACCGCUGCUGUAGACUACAUUCUCCUCCCAAUGCCACAAACUGAACCCAGGAAUCCUGAUUCCCACUAUUCUGUUUCUAGCAAAUAUUUGUGUAGCCCACAGGCAAUGUAUGUCAGGUCCCUUUUAGCAAUCAUGGGCCAUAUAGGGUCAGAUACUCCUUUUGCUUAGUGAUAGAGGCCUCUCGUAGGUCUAAUUUGCAGGUCCAAUAUGUAAAUCUUGAUGCUGACUCAUAGAGAUUCUUCUGUUUGCAAGAGAUGGAACUUCUGUUAUUUCCCCCCUCCCCAGUUUCUUUUGUAAUAGAUUUUCUGGAGUUGGUGAGUGAACUUCUUUGAGUGUCUAUGUUUACAUGAGUAGAGGCAUGUCUGUAUGCUCAUCUGCAUAUGCUUUUUAUUGUUGCAUGCCUGGGGGUCUGCAAUGAGGGGCAGGGAGUGGAAAUAUUUCAGAUCAAUCCACCCCAGACAAAUAUUCAUUCCCUUUCACUGUCCCUUGUGCAGUAAUAACAAUGUGACUUUUAGAAAGAGUAUAAAGUCUGGACAGGGCAAAAUGAGAAGACACCCCUCUGUGUAAAUCCCCUAUGGGAUCCCUCUAGGUGGUAGUAUUGAUCAUAGGAACGUAUGGAGGCUUCUGGAUGGCCCAAGAUAUUGGAUGGUGAAGAUGCAUGAUCCCCUACAAUAUCUGGGGGCAAUGACCCAUUUCUUUGGGUUUCCUGACCUCCAUUUGUGCUCUUUGUUUCAGCUCUUGCCUAUUUGCUGUUUGACGAAGAACCCUCAAUUGGUAGAAAUAUCUUUGCCAUCUUUGAGCAGAUGAACUGGCCUGCACCGCACAGACAGUCCUUCUCACUGAGAAGCCACUUCUACUACAGCUUCUCAUGAUUGGCACAGGAAGCCAGAAAAAAUUGGACAGUUGCUCUCCUGAAAAGGCUCUCCUCCUGCUUCUGUUGACCAGGGAACAACCACCAUGGAUUACCAACGCACGGGGGAGUCAGUCCUGCCCCCUAUUGCGAUGCUGCCUCAUCACAGAAUGUAAAGCAAGAACAUCACUGUACAACAGAAGGGGAUGGACUGUCAACUUGCCAGAAGGCUGGUGGCUGAAACUUAAUUUGUAGAUAGGCUUGUAUAAAUGUUUGCACCUUUCUGAUUUUUAAUAAAAC